rnacentral:rRNA from 1 species
GACGAACGCUGGCGGCGUGCUUAACACAUGCAAGUCGAGCGGUAAGGCCCUUUCAGGGGUACACGAGCGGCGAACGGGUGAGUAACACGUGGGUGACCUGCCCUCAGCUCUGGGAUAAGCCUGGGAAACCGGGUCUAAUACCGGAUAUGACUCCAUGACGCAUGUUGUGGGGUGGAAAGCCUUGUGCGGCUGAGGAUGGGCCCGCGGCCUAUCAGCUUGUUGGUGGGGUGANGGCCUACCAAGGCGACGACGGGUAGCCGGCCUGAGAGGGCGACCGGCCACACUGGGACUGAGACACGGCCCAGACUCCUACGGGAGGCAGCAGUGGGGAAUCUUGCGCAAUGGGCGAAAGCCUGACGCAGCGACGCCGCGUGAGGGAUGACGGCCUGGU